rnacentral:sRNA from 1 species
UUUAUUAUAAUUUCUUAAUUUUCAGAGAUAAAUUGGUCAAAAGUUUAAUGAAAAAGUUGGAAAAGUGCUUCAUCCGUGACAAGUGCCUCAAAAAGAAUAAAAUUCUUUAAAAAUGUCUAAACGUGUCAAAUUCCCUUAUUUUUAACCGCCAUAGAAAGUGAGUUCAUGCUUGUUAAAACAAA